UGCCAGCAGCCGCGGUAAUACGGAGGGGGUUAGCGUUGUUCGGAAUUACUGGGCGUAAAGCGCACGUAGGCGGAUUAGAAAGUUGGUGGUGAAAGCCCAGAGCUCAACUCUGGAACUGCCAUCAAAACUGACUUACUUGAGAUUGGUAGAGGAAAAUGGAAUUCCUAGUGUAGAGGUGAAAUUCGUAGAUAUUGGGAAGAACAUCGGUGGCGAAGGCGAUUUUCUGGGCCAAAUCUGACGCUGAGGUUCGAAAGCGUGGGUAGCAAACAGGAUUAGAUA
rnacentral:rRNA from 1 species